GAUGAACGCUGGCGGCGUGCUUAACACAUGCAAGUCGAACGGAAAGGCUCCUGUUUGCAGGGGUACUCGAGUGGCGAACGGGUGAGUAACACGUGGGUGAUCUGCCCUGCACUUCGGGAUAUGCCUGGGAAACUGGGUCUAAUACCGGAUAGGACGUUGGUCUGGAUGCCAUUGUGGAAAGUUUUUCCGGUGUGGGAUGAGCUCGCGGCCUAUCAGCUUGUUGGUGGGGUAAGGGCCUAGCAAGGCGUCGACGGGUAGCCGGCCUGAGAGGAUGUACGGCAACAUUGGAACUGGAAUACGGCACAGACUCCUACGGGAGGCAGCGGUGGGGAAGAGUGCACAAUGGGAGGAAGCCUGAUGCAGCGACGCCGCGUGGGGGAAAACGGGCUUCGGGUUGGAAUCUCCUUUCGCAAGAGAAGAAGCGAAAGUGACGGUACCUGGAGAAGAAGCACCGGCUAACUACGUG
rnacentral:rRNA from 1 species